rnacentral:lncRNA from 1 species
AGAGACGGGGUUUCACCAUGUUAGCCAGGAUGGUCUCGAUCUCCUGACCUCAAGAUCCACCUGCCUCGGCCUCCCAAAGUGCUGGGAUUACAGGCAUGAGCCACCACACCCGGCGAUUCAUUCUUAUACAACUACGUUUGUCAGCAUUCUUGCCAUUGGACUGUCUAGCCCUUGAUGCUGUUAUAUCAUGGCUUGUUGAUACAGAAGAUGCUACAUGAACUCAAGUGGAACUCUGACUGCCUUGAGAGCAUCCCACCAUCCAUUGCUGCUGCAUCAAGGUAUUAAAAAGAGAGACAGAAGGAAGAGAAUGUUUGUCAAAUGUCUUCUUUGGGCACCUCACAGGGCCAGGCACAAGGGGAAGGGGUAUUUGCAGCUGACUUCAAUCCAAAGCUGAAUGUGGAUGUUGGCACCUGCUUCUCCCUCUCUCCAGACAUCUCCCUGUAUCUUUGCUUAUUUGGUUUCAUAUUGAUUGACCAUCAACCACCCCCCAUCCCUGUAGAACGAGAAGCUCAUGAGAACAGGGGUCUUGUUCUUUAGCUUUUGUUUCUCCACCGAGAAGAGUGCCUGGAAACAGAGUCAAUGCUCAAUAAACAUUUAUGGAACAAA